rnacentral:rRNA from 1 species
CACGGAGUUAGCCGGUGCUUAUUCAUACUGUACCUUCAGCUACCCUCACGAGGGUAGGUUUAUCCCAGUAUAAAAGAAGUUUACAAUCCAUAGAACCGUCGUCCUUCACGCGGGAUGGCUGGAUCAGGCUCUCACCCAUUGUCCAAUAUUCCUCACUGCUGCCUCCCGUAGGAGUCUGGUCCGUGUCUCAGUACCAGUGUGGGGGAUCACCCUCUCAGGCCCCCUAAAGAUCACUGACUUGGUGAGCCGUUACCUCACCAACUAUCUAAUCUUGCGCGUGCCCAUCUCUAUCCGCCGGAGCUUUCAAUAAUAAAUGAUGCCAUUCAUUAUAUUAUGGGAUAUUAAUCUUCCUUUCGAAAGGCUAUCUCCCUGAUAAAGGCAGGUUGCACACGUGUUCCGCACCCGUACGCCGCUCUCUCUGUCCCGAAAGACAAAUACCGCUCGGCUUGCAUGUGUUAGGCCUCCCGCUAGCGUUCAUCCUGAGCCAGGAUCAAA